UUCGUUGUUCCUCAACGGUGCCCUCUUCACGUUACAACAUUUUGUCAUCGAUUGCGUUGAUCGCGAUGGUGAUUAUUUCAUACGUCUUGUCAACAAUCUCAGAAAUUAUUUCGUGACACGCGCACGUGGGUAGAAUUCUUCGUUAAAUUCCAGGCUCGUGUUUCAUUGCUGGCAACAAUCGAUUGACUAACGUUAAGUGCAACGAUGAAAGUGCUGAGGUUUCCACAUCCGUACAGAUAUCCGUGUUUCCUCUUCAUCGUAGUCGUCGAGUCCGGAGAAGUCAUUCGUGCGACCGAUCGGAUGGGUUUCUAAAAAGGAAUCAUUUGUCACGACAAGAACAGAGAUGGGCAGAGCGAGACAUAUUUACGAAUAUUCGGAAAUAUGGCACGUUCUUUCGAAGAUAUCGUCUACCUUGUGAAAGUAUUGACGACGUCUGUAUUAUGUCCACAUACACCCAGUGAAAGUAUAUCCCAGUGAAAAGGUGACUGGCUCUAUCUUCAAGCUGCUUGCAGCACCAUCUCUGAAUUAACACGAGGAUACACUUUUUCCAACGCCCCUGCGUCAAAAACAACUCGAAACGAAGAAAACGUGCAAAAAGUGGAAGGUCUCCGCGCCCUUUGUGCCCCACUCGUUGACGAACAACCAAAAAGAUGCCAGAGUAGAGCACUGCAAAGACAAGCAAAGAACGAUAAUUAUGGGUCCGGAAUUCAUAUCAAACAUCGUAACGGGUGAUAAAACGUAGUGUUUUUAAUAUAAGCCAUCAACCAAGCGUCAGAGUGAUGAAUGAAAAUCGCCUGAAGAAGGAGAACCAAAAAAAUUGCGAAUGUAAAAAAGUCGAAUCAAAAUAUUGCUUAUUAUUUUCUUCGCUCCCAAAGGCAUUAUUCAUCACGAAUAUAUUCAUGGUCAGACGAUAAACGGCAACUACUACUUGGGUGUUAUGUAUCGUUUGUGGGCUAAAAUUUCAUGCAAUCGAUCUGAAUACCGCGAGGUUCUUGGUCGUUAUUGCGCUGGCUCGAUAAUGCACUGGGUCACAAAGCCAAGGUUAUACGCAAUUUUUGGCCAAAAAGAGCAUUAUGAUGCUUAAACAUCCGCCGUACUCGUUUAAUUUAACUCCUUGUGACUUCUGGCUAUUCCCAAAACUAAAAUUGGCCAUGAAAAGAUCACGUUAUGAUUCAAUUUAGGACAUCCAAAAGGUUUUGACAAAAUUUCUAAAGGCAAUUCCGGCAGAGGUCCUUCAAGGACUGCUUCAAAAAAGUCUUACGAUCGUUUCCAGCAGUGUAUUGACUCACAGGGAGUCCAUUUUGAAUAAUAAAUAAUAAAUAAAUAAUAAUAAAUAAUAAAAACGAAAUAUGAAUAACGUCUUGUAUUUCAUUUGACAUCAGUCAUCUUUUCACUAGGACAUACUAUAUAUAUCUA